GACGAACCGUCCAGACGUUAUUCGGAUUCACUGGGCUUAAAGGGUGCGUAGGCGGCUCAGAAAGUAGGGUGUGAAAGCCCUCGGCUCAACCGAGGAACUGCGCCCUAAACUACUGGGCUUGAGGAACGCAGAGGUAAGCGGAACUUACGGUGGAGCGGUGAAAUGCGUUGAUAUCGUAAGGAACACCAGGAGCGAAAGCGGCUUACUGGGCGUUUUCUGACGCUGAUGCACGAAAGCUAGGGGAGCGAACGGG
rnacentral:rRNA from 1 species